rnacentral:rRNA from 1 species
UCACCGCUGUGAAGGUGCUGCAUGGUUGUCGUCAGCUCGUGCCGUGAGGUGUCGGCUUAAGUGCCAUAACGAGCGCAACCCUUAUCUUUAGUUACUAACAGGUUAUGCUGAGGACUCUAGAGAGACUGCCGUCGUAAGAUGUGAGGAAGGUGGGGAUGACGUCAAAUCAGCACGGCCCUUACGUCCGGGGCUACACACGUGUUACAAUGGGGGGUACAGAAG